rnacentral:tRNA from 10 species
GGGCCGCUAGCUCAUUUGGUAGAGCACCGCCCUUUUAAGGCGGGUGUGCUGGGUUCGAAUCCCAGGCGGCUCACCA